GGGGAAUAUUGCGCAAUGGGGGAAACCCUGACGCAGCAACGCCGCGUGGAGGAAGAAGGUCUUCGGAUUGUAAACUCCUGUCUUCUGGGACGAUAAUGACGGUACCAGAGGAGGAAGCCACGGCUAACUACGUGCCAGCAGCCGCGGUAAUACGUAGGUGGCGAGCGUUGUCCGGAAUUACUGGGCGUAAAGUGCGCGUAGGCGGCUCUUUAAGUCAGAUGUGAAAACCCGAGGCUUAACUUCGGGAGUGCAUUUGAAACUGAAGGGCUUGAGUGCAGGAGAGGUAAGUGGAAUUCCUAGUGUAGCGGUGAAAUGCGUAGAUAUUAGGAGGAACACCAGUGGCGAAGGCGACUUACUGGACUGUAACUGACGCUGAGGCGCGAAAGCGUGGGGAGCAAACAG
rnacentral:rRNA from 1 species